AGGAUAAACCCCUUCCCAGGCCUCAUUUAAGGGUUGGCAGUGCAGGUAAGGGCAUCUUGCUGUAGAUCCCUACCUACCUGAGGCCUUCCAAGGGUAAGCAGAUUUUUUUUUCCUUUGUUUCUGUGUCCACAGCUGCUGUACCUGGGCAUAUACUCACUUGCUGUAGCCUGGGACUUUGCAACUCUGCUAUCAUUGCUGUAUUCUAUGCUGCAUUACGGUAUUACAAUAAUGAAAUAGGAGGCAUUACUUUUAGUUGUUCAAUGCGAAUGAGGGGAGAAUACUGAAGAUCUGUUUAGUCUCUGUUAAGUUGCAUGUAGAAAGAAUGGCAUUAAUGUAGGGCUUUAAAAAAAAAAAACACAUUUUCUGCUUAUUGCAGCUCUUGUAAUUUCUCUGUAGCCCUCAGAAGGUGGUGUAUCUGCAGCAUCCAUGAGAAGAGUCUCCUUAGCUUUUGUGUUCUGCAUCACUGAGGUUGCUGAUUCCUAGACAGAAAGCAUAAAGUAAAACCCAAAAAGUCAGAAGGAUUGUGAGGCCUCGCUUUCAUGGUCUGUAUUCGUACUGAAAAUCAAGCGAGCUUUUGCCCUUCUGCUUCACGGGAGGUUUCUGGCCUCCCUGAGCUUGCCUUAGGACACCUGCAUUAUGCUUUCACAGGUGUAUCCCCCCAAGUCAAACUCCCCACCUGAUACUGUCCUAAUUCAUUCCUAAUCCAUUAGGAUUUAAUGCAAAACUGUGAUUUUAAGGGACUAUAAAUAUGGUCUAAGCUUCGAUAGACUGAGAAUGGUAGGCAGGUCGAAAGCCAUAUGGAGACUGACUGACUGAUUUCCAUUUGUGCUGUAUGCAUGAACAGAAAAAGAAAGGAGAGCAUGCGUCUUUGGGAGACUCGGGAAGGAUCUCCCCAUCCUGGAAGUGGAGAAGGCAAGGAAUGUUGACUAGCUGGAAGAACAGUGCGCGAUGCUCUCUGAUAUCUGGUGCAACCUAGAGAGAACUCUGAAUGGCAGAUUUGCUGGAAAAACACUGAGUAAAUUGUUGUACAGAAGGAUUUAAGAAAUACUGCUUCAUCUUCUGUAAAUUAUAUAAAGUUCUACUGGAGAAAUAGCACAAGUUUACAUCAGAAUGGUAGCUGCCUGGUGGAGCUGCAUCACUCUGCUUUUGUUACUUUCUGUGUGAAGAGAACAGACCAAUUUCCUGAUUCAGUCUUAGAGAAUUAAUCAAAGACGCCCCUUGAGGAGUACUAGUAUUUACUUUAAGUUCUCAGACUCUUGACUAAGAAUGAAAUAGUUGCAAAAUUCAUACUGAACUUCAUGCAUUCUGCAUAUUUUUUAUCAGUGAUGUGUGAUUUGAAAAAAGAUAGCUUGAGAAAGUUUAAAAA
rnacentral:lncRNA from 1 species